rnacentral:rRNA from 1 species
UAGUUCAAGCGGUAGGAGAGCGUCGUAACCGGGCUGAAGUCGUACCGUAAGGAGCGGUGGACUGGUUACGAGUGAGAAUGUUGGCAUCAGUAGCGAGAUGUGGGUGAGAAUCCCACAGGCCGAAAACCUAAGGUUUCCUCAGGAAGGUUCGUCCGCUGAGGGUUAGUCGGGACCUAAGCCGAGGCCGAAAGGCGUAGGUGAUGGACAACUGGUUGAUAUUCCAGUACCACUACCAUCGUUAUUAUCGAUGGCGUGACGCAGGAGGAUAGUGUGUGCUAGCUAUUGGAUGCUAGUCUAAGCGUUUAGGCAGUGAGAGUAGGCAAAUCCGCUCUCAUAAUGCUGAGGCGUGAUGGGGAAGGUUC